rnacentral:misc_RNA from 1 species
CAGCCGCGUAAUUCCAGCUCCAAUAGCGUAUAUUAAAGUUGUUGCAGUUAAAAAGCUCGUAGUUGAAUUUCGGGAUCAAUUUGUUGGUCGUGCCUCGGUACGUACUGGCAUUAUUGGUUUCUACCUUCUGAAGAACCUUGAUGUCAUUAAUUUGGUGUCUUGGGGAAUCAGGACUGUUACUUUGAAAAAAUUAGAGUGUUUAAAGCAGGCAUACGCUUGAAUACAUUAGCAUGGAAUAAUGAAAUAGGACGUUUGAUUCUAUUUUGUUGGUUUCUAGGAUCGACGUAAUGAUUAAUAGGGAUAGUUGGGGGCAUUAGUAUUCAAUUGUCAGAGGUGAAAUUCUUGGAUUUAUUGAAGACUAACUACUGCGAAAGCAUUUGCCAAGGAUGUUUUCAUUAAUCAAGAACGAAAGUUAGGGGAUCGAAGACGAUCAGAUACCGUCGUAGUCUUAACCAUAAACUAUGCCGACUAGGGAUCGGAUGAUGUUAUUUUUAAUGACUCAUUCGGCGCCUUACG